CUGUUGUACUGUCCAAAGAAAUCUGUAAAUUUUGUGAUUAUUGUAAUCACAAAAUUUACAGAUUUCUUUGGACAUUACAACAG
rnacentral:sRNA from 1 species